AAGCUCGUCGAUGAGAAGGAAUGAAAUGGGACAGGCAAAGCCCGUCAUCCUCCCAUCAAGUCAGGAACAACGAUCAUGUUAACAUCCUGCCCAGAACGGCUCUCCUGCAAAAGUCUCUGCCUGGUUAAUAGAUCAUGCUGAACUUUAAGGGACCUAUGGCGUUUUCGGACAUUCUCAUUUUGCAACCAGUUUGCACUCAAUGGCCUUCUGACAAUUCUAUAGUUCAUUUCAUCUGGUCUUUAGAAUGA
rnacentral:misc_RNA from 1 species